rnacentral:tRNA from 1 species
AAUUUUAUAGUUUAUUUUAAAACCUUAAAUUGCAAGUUUAAAGAAAUUUAUGAUAUAGAUUAAAAUU